UCUCUCCCCCUUCAUGUUUCUUAUUUACUUCAAUUUCUUUUAAUCAAAUCAGCCACAAAAAUGCAGUUGUGGUCUCACAUGGCAAAGCAGAAAAUUUCCCCAACAGUAAUAGGACAAAGAAAGUAAUUGUGUGGAAAACAAGAAUGCAGAACACAGAGAAAAGAGGAGUGUAGUGGGGGAAAUAGAUUAUAGAAGAGGUGGUAGGUUAAAUUGAAAGAACAAAGGUAGAUGUGAACAAAAAUGCAACAGAAAAAUCAAAGAGAAAAAAUUGAGGAAAGAUAUAGUUACUGUUUAAUUUAUGGGAGUUACAAGCAUUUUUGAGAGCAAUCCUUUUCUGAAAGCAGCCAUUUUGUAGAAGAAAAAAAAAUAGGUGAGGGGAGAGGGUGUCACAGUGGCUGCAGAUCUUUGCCUGCUAAAUCCAGAGAGAAAUGGUGAAAGAGGAAGACAGGAAGAGCAACAGGAAGGAGUGGGAGAAAACUAAAACAUUGAAACUACUUCUGAGCCGGGGAAGUGAACACACGAAAUCAGAAACCCACCAGAACUCACUUGGGGCUUGGAAAGCACAAGAGGAGAGUGACUAAACAACAAAUUAAGACACAAUUCAAGUGAAGAGUGGAAUGGCCCCUACUUAGAGAAUGGAAAGCACAUGUGCAGAGGGGAAGCAGCACUACAUGGGUUUGGGAGCUGCAGCAGCCAGGCACAUCAGUAACUUUGGGCUGCUGCAGAAAGCACAGAAACCUCUGUCAGCACAGCUUGUCUAUUCAAAGUCAGAUAAAAUCCUUGAACAAUGUGA